rnacentral:ncRNA from 3 species
GAUAGCUCAGUCGGUAGAGCA